AACUAAAAUAAUUAGAAAGCGCCGUACGAAAAAAUCAGUUCUUCUUCUCAAACUCAUAAACCCUAAAAUCCCAUACGAACUUCCGCUCCCAUUAAUUUCAUCCUCUCAAACUCUCAAUCCCUAAAAUCCCAAAUCGAGCUUCUUCGACGUUACUGCCUUUGUCAUCGAGAGGGAAAAUCACAAUUCUAAAAUCCAAGUUCAUAAUUCCAGAAUCUUCACCUCAACUUGCCACCACAGCCACAACCAGGAAUAUCUUUGCUAGCUAGGAGUUACUUGUGAAGAGUGAAGUUCAGAUCGUUUCUAAGAAUCUUAUAGUGUGUGGUUCCAGAAGCUGUUGACUUUCUCUAUAGGUAAUUAGUUGUUCUUUUGAAAUAGUUGCGUGAAUAACUAUAGUGUUUUUGUUUACAUUAAUUAGUAGUAAUUUCAUAGAUAAAAAAUGGAUGACUGCCGAUCGAUUGUCAGAAGAGUACGAGAAUGGGGUAUUGGAAUUCGUUUGAGUAUUAUAAGUUUUUACGCGCAUUUUAUGUACAUUUGUUUUUACAUGGUUAUGUUAAUUAGACUCCAACAAAAUCCAAAGCAAAAGAUAAGGGGAUUCCGCGGAAAAUCGAGUAAGUUGCAACAAUAAAAGAGUUUUCCGAGCACAAAGCGGUAAUCAAGUACCAAAGAGUAAAUCCAACAACAUUACAUGGAUUAUAAUGGAGUGUCCUGGGCAGCGUAAUGAAAUAGAUUGCGGUUUUUACAUGUUGAAGUUUAUGAAAGAAAUUCUUCUUAUGGAUCGAAUAGAGAUUCCAUCCAAGUACUUUGAUGAAUUCAAGCGUGCUUAUUACUCAAGUUCUCAGUUGGAUGAACUUUAGGAGGAUUGGUGUAAAUUCAUGAUUGAGUCGAAAGUUAUAUAAGGUUAUAUGUGCAGAUGUAGAAGAUAGAGAUGAAUAGAUUUUGUAAUGGUAUAAUGGUGCAAAAAAAAUGUGGCAUAUCUUUUGGUGUUGUUUUUUUGUAAAAGUAUAUGUACAAGAGUAAUAGUAUAUAUAAGUACAUUGGUGCAAUUGUAUAUGGUA